rnacentral:rRNA from 1 species
UACGUAGGGUGCGAGCGUUGUCCGGAAUUAUUGGGCGUAAAGGGCUCGUAGGCGGUUUGUCGCGUCGGGAGUGAAAACUCAGGGCUUAACCCUGAGCCUGCUUCCGAUACGGGCAGACUAGAGGUAUGCAGGGGAGAACGGAAUUCCUGGUGUAGCGGUGAAAUGCGCAGAUAUCAGGAGGAACACCGGUGGCGAAGGCGGUUCUCUGGGCAUUACCUGACGCUGAGGAGCGAAAGUGUGGGGGAGCGAACAGG